CAUUACCGAGUUCAUGCCCUUACGGGUAGACCUCCCACCCUAUGUUAUAUUACCUUUGUUGCUUUGGCGGGCCGCCCGGCUUCGGCCAGGCUACCGGCUCCAGCUGGUAAGCGCUCGCCAGAGGACCCUCAACUCUGAAUAUCAGUGUCGUCUGAGUACUAUAAAAUAGUUAAAACUUUCAACAACGGAUCUCUUGGUUCUGGCAUCGAUGAAGAACGCAGCGAAAUGCGAUAAGUAAUGUGAAUUGCAGAAUUCAGUGAAUCAUCGAAUCUUUGAACGCACAUUGCGCCCCUUGGUAUUCCGAGGGGCAUGCCUGUUCGAGCGUCAUUACAACCCUCAAGCACUGCUUGGUAUUGGGCUCCGCUGGCUCCAGCGGGCCUUAAAAUCAGUGGCGGCGCCGUUUGGGCUCUGAGCGUAGUAAAUAUCCUCGCUAUAGAGACCAGGCGGUUCUUGUCAUCAACCCCCAACUUUCUAAGUUUGACCUCGGAUCAGGUAGGGAUACCCGCUGAACUUAAGCAUAUCA
rnacentral:rRNA from 1 species